GACGUAGGGGCCAGCGUUGUUCGGAAUUACUGGGUGUAAAGGGUUCGUAGGCGGCGCGGUAAGUCGGGUGUGAAAUCUUGGAGCUUAACUCCGAAACUGCAUUCGAUACUGCCGUGCUUGAGGACUGGAGAGGAGACUGGAAUUUACGGUGUAGCGGUGAAAUGCGUAGAUAUCGUAAGGAAGACCAGUGGCGAAGGCGGGUCUCUGGACAGUUCCUGACGCUGAGGCACGAAGGCCAGGGAGCAAACGGG
rnacentral:rRNA from 1 species